AGAGCGAACGCUGGCGGCAGGCCUAACACAUGCAAGUCGAGCGCCCGUAGCAAUACGGGAGCGGCAGACGGGAGAGUAACACGUGGGAACGUACCCUUCAGUUCGGAAUAACCCAGGGAAACUUGGACUAAUACCGAAUACGUCCGUAAGGAGAAAGAUUUAUCGCUGAAGGAUCGGCCCGCGUCUGAUUAGCUUGUUGGUGAGGUAACGGCUCACCAAGGCGACGAUCAGUAGCUGGUCUGAGAGGAUGAUCAGCCUCACUGGGACUGAGACACGGCCCAGACUCCUACGGGAGGCAGCAGUGGGGAAUAUUGGACAAUGGGCGCAAGCCUGAUCCAGCCAUGCCGCGUGGAUGAUGAAGGCCCUAGGGUUGUAAAGUCCUUUCGACGGGAAGAUAAUGACGGUACCCGUAGAAGAGCCCGGCUAACUUCGCGCCAGCAGCCGC
rnacentral:rRNA from 1 species